rnacentral:rRNA from 1 species
UACGUAGGGUGCGAGCGUUGUCCGGAUUUAUUGGGCGUAAAGAGCUCGUAGGCGGUUUGUCGCGUCGGCCGUGAAAUCUCCACGCUUAACGUGGAGCGUGCGGUCGAUACGGGCAGACUUGAGUUCGGUAGGGGAGACUGGAAUUCCUGGUGUAGCGGUGAAAUGCGUAGAUAUCGGGAGGAACACCAGUGGCGAAGGCGGCGACCUGGGCCAAUAUUGACGCUGAGGUGCGGAAAAGCGUGGGGAGCAAACAGGG